AGGGCAUACGGUGGAUGCCUAGGCGCCAAGAGCCGAAGAAGGACGCGGUAAGCUGCGAAAAGCCACGGGGAACUGCAAGCAAGUAUUGAUCCGUGGAUAUCCGAAUGGGGAAACCCGGCCAUCGUCAUGGAUGGUCACCCGCAAGGGAGGGAACCUGGGGAACUGAAACAUCUAAGUACCCGGAGGAAGAGAAAUCAAACGAGAUGCCCACAGUAGCGGCGAGCGAAGAGGGCAGAGCCCAAACCGAGAAGCUCCGGCUUUUCGGGGUUGAGGACCGGCAGAAUCGAAGUCAGGCCUAGUUGAAUUACCUGGAAAGGUAAGCGAGAGAGGGUAAAAGCCCCGUAGACGAAAGGCAGAGCAGAGAGGCCGAGAUCCAGAGUACCACGAAGCACGAGGAAUUUUGUGGGAAGCAGGGGGGACCACCCUCCAAGGCUAAAAACUACUUGGCGACCGAUAGCGCAUAGUACCGUGAGGGAAAGGUGAAAAGAACCCCGGGAGGGGAGUGAAAUAGUACCUGAAACCGUAUGUCUACAAGCAGUCGAAGCGAAAGCGACGGCGUGCCUAUUGAAGAAUGAACCAACGAGUUAUCUGCACUAGCGAGGUUAAGUGGAAGACACGGAGCCGCAGCGAAAGCGAGUCUUAAGAGGGCGCUAGUUAGUGUAGGUAGACCCGAAACCGCAGUGAUCUACCCAUGUCCAGGUUGAAGCGCAGGUAAAAUUGCGUGGAGGACCGAACCGGUGAGCGUUGAAAAGCUUUCGGAUGAGAUGUGGGUAGGGGUGAAAUUCCAAUCGAACGCGGAGAUAGCUGGUUCUCCCCGAAAUAGCUUUAGGGCUAGCCUGAGGUAGUAAGUAUAGGCGGUAGAGCACUGAUCGGGCUAGGGGCCGUAAAGGUUACCGAACCCUGUCAAACUCCGAAUGGAUAUACUGUAGAGCCUUGGAGUCAGACUACGAGUGAUAAGAUCCGUGGUCAAAAGGGAAACAGCCCAGACCACCAGCUAAGGUCCCCAAUGUCGUACUAAGUGGAAAAGGAUGUGGGGUUUCAUAAACAACCAGGAUGUUGGCUCAGAAGCAGCCACCAUUUAAAGAGUGCGUAAUAGCUCACUGGUCGAGAGACCCUGCGCCGAAGAUUCCCGGGGCUAAAGUACGAAACCGAAGCUGUGGCUGUAUACGUAAAGUAUACGGGGUAGGGGAGCGUUCCCAUAGGGUAGAAGUCGAACUGGAAGGUUCGGUGGACUUGUGGGAAGUGAGAAUGUUGGUAUGAGUAGCGAAAAGAAAGGUGAGAAUCCUUUCCACCGAAAGCAUAAGGAUUCCUGAGCAACGAUCGUCGUCUCAGGGUAAGUCGGGACCUAAUCCGAGGCAGAGAGCGUAGGAGAUGGACAACUGGUUGAUAUUCCAGUACCGGUAGUAAUUGUUUGAGCAAUGGAGUGACACAGAAGGGCAGGCAAGCAUGCGAAUGGAAGAGCAUGUGUAAGCGUGUAGGGUGGUGCAUAGGCAAAUCCGUGCACUGAAAGCCUGAGGCGUGAUGCGGAGUGAGCAGAGAUGCGAGCGAAGUUGUUGACCCCACACUGUCGAGAAAAGCUUCUAGUGAGAGAGCUACCGCCCGUACCGUAAACCGACACAGGUAUGCGGGGAGAGAAUCCUAAGGUGCGCGGGAGAACCCUCGUUAAGGAACUCGGCAAAAUGUACCCGUAACUUCGGGAUAAGGGUAGCCACUGUUGUGAAGUCCCAUGCGGAUGGAGCAUAGAGUGGUCGCAGAGAAGAGGCCCAAGCGACUGUUUACCAUAAACACAGGUGCCUGCUAAAGCGAAAGCUGACGUAUAGGUGCUGACACCUGCCCAGUGCCGGAAGGUUAAGGAAGGAUGUUCGGAUUAGUCCAAAGCAUUCGACUGAAGCCCCGGUGAACGGCGGCCGUAACUAUAACGGUCCUAAGGUAGCGAAAUUCCUUGUCGGGUAAGUUCCGACCCGCACGAAAGGUGUAACGAUUUGGGCACUGUCUCAACGAGGGACCCGGUGAAAUUGAAAUACCUGUGAAGAUGCAGGUUACCCGCGACUGGACAGAAAGACCCCAUGGAGCUUUACUGUAACCUGACAUUGGGUUUUGAUACAUUACGUACAGGAUAGGUGGGAGGCAUGGAAAGCUGGACGCUAGUCUGGCUGGAGCCGCCGUUGGGAUACCACCCUUGAUGUAUUGAAAUUCUAACCGCGAGAGUAACGAAAUCCGGGACAGUGUCAGGCGGGCAGUUUGACUGGGGCGGUCGCCUCCGAAAGAGUAAC
rnacentral:rRNA from 1 species